AACCUGCCCCAAGCUUUGGGAUAACCCCGGGAAACCGGGGCUAAUACCGAAUAGGACCUUCGGCCGCAUGGCUGGGGGUGGAAAGUUUUUCGGCUUGGGAUGGGCUCGCGGCCUAUCAGCUUGUUGGUGGGGUGAUGGCCUACCAAGGCGACGACGGGUAGCCGGCCUGAGAGGGCGACCGGCCACACUGGGACUGAGACACGGCCCAGACUCCUACGGGAGGCAGCAGUGGGGAAUAUUGCACAAUGGGCGGAAGCCUGAUGCAGCGACGCCGCGUGAGGGAUGACGGCCUUCGGGUUGUAAACCUCUUUCAGCAGGGACGAAGCGAGAGUGACGGUACCUGCAGAAGAAGCACCGGCCAACUACGUGCCAGCAGCCGCGGUAAGACGUAGGGUGCGAGCGUUGUCCGGAUUUAUUGGGCGUAAAGAGCUCGUAGGCGGCUUGUCGCGUCGACCGUGAAAACUUGGGGCUCAACCCCAAGCCUGCGGUCGAUACGGGCAGGCUAGAGUUCGGUAGGGGAGACUGGAAUUCCUGGUGUAGCGGUGAAAUGCGCAGAUAUCAGGAGGAACACCGGUGGCGAAGGCGGGUCUCUGGGCCGAUACUGACGCUGAGGAGCGAAAGCGUGGGGAGCGAACAGGAUUAGAUACCCUGGUAGUCCACGCUGUAAACGUUGGGCGCUAGGUGUGGGGGACCUCUCCGGUUUCCUGUGCCGCAGCUAACGCAUUAAGCGCCCCGCCUGGGGAGUACGGCCGCAAGGCUAAUACUCAAAGGAAUUGACGGGGGCCCGCACAAGCGGCGGAGCAUGCGGAUUAAUUCGAUGCAACGCGAAGAACCUUACCUGGGUUUGACAUGGCCGCAAAACUCGCAGAGAUGUG
rnacentral:rRNA from 1 species